CCUACGGGAGGCUGCAGUGGGGAAUAUUGGACAAUGGGGGGAACCCUGAUCCAGCCAUGCCGCGUGUGUGAAGAAGGCCCUCGGGUUGUAAAGAACUUUCAGUGAGGAAGAACGCCUGGUGGUUAAUACCCAUCAGGAAAGACAUCACUCACAGAAGAAGCACCGGCUAACUCCGUGCCAGCAGCCGCGGUAAUACGGAGGGUGCGAGCGUUAAUCGGAAUUACUGGGCGUAAAGCGCGCGUAGGUGGCUUGAUAAGCCGGUUGUGAAAGCCCCGGGCUCAACCUGGGAACGGCAUCCGGAACUGUCAAGCUAGAGUGCAGGAGAGGAAGGUAGAAUUCCCGGUGUAGCGGUGAAAUGCGUAGAGAUCGGGAGGAAUACCAGUGGCGAAGGCGGCCUUCUGGACUGACACUGACACUGAGGUGCGAAAGCGUGGGUAGCAAACAGGAUUAGAUACCCCUGUAGUC
rnacentral:rRNA from 1 species